CGGUGCUGAGAUGCAGAGAAAUGUGCAGGGCAGGGGCUCCGGACCGGCUGCAGAGAUGCACUGGCCCCUCUCCUCCAGCGACAAGCCAGGCCACGGGAAAUAAAGGUGUCUUCCAAGGGACAGACCGAAGGACAAGCACUUAAGACACAAGCAAGGGCACAGUCCAGGGGGCAGCUUGGAGCCCGAGCAGCCCUGUUUGUAAUAACCACACCUGGGAAGCACCCAAAUGCCCCUCAGCCGUAGAACAGAUACACCGACAGCAUUCUGCGGGCGGUGCAGUGGAAUGACAGCGCUGCUACGAAUAGUGCACAGCCACACAUAACAUGAUGACUCACGCAUGAUUUGGGGUAACCAGCUACUGAGCGCCUACCGUAUGGCACGUACUCAGCCAGAUGCAGGGUACUGGGGCCGGCAGCAAGAUCCGCUGUCCCUCCUGGAGGAUCCUGUAGCAGAAUGGGAAGCGCCUCUGAGAAAGGAAUGCCUGCUAGGCCCGCAGCCGGGGAGCCCAGCAUAGGACCUGCUCAUAGUAGGUCCCGCAUCAGUGUUUCUGAAAAGACAAAUGAACGCACGCAUAAAAGCGUAUGCGUAAAGUUUCUUGUGAAUAAAAUUUAAACGUCAGAUUAAUUGACUUCUACGGUCUGGAGUUGGGCACAGAGAACGGACAGAGAGCAAGGUUACUGCGCAUGUGCAAGAACAGGUGCAGCUGCCCGAGCGCCUGUGCGCCAGUAACCUUGCUCUCUGUCCAUUCAGAGCAGGAGUAGGGGCGGGGCCGCACUUCCUGCCUCCAUUCCAGCCUAGCCCCCUGGGGCCUGGUCCAGCUGCCCGCAGCAAGCAGGGGGUCGCAGAAUGUGUGUUUGUCAGGUUGACUCUCCACCCCCAGCGGGAUGACACUGGGGGGCUCUUUGGGGGUGAUUGGUAGGGUGGAGUCCUACCGAUGGAUGAGUGCCCUCAUAAGAAGAGGGCACCAGAAAGCUCCUUUCUUCUCUUCUUGCAUGCCUGCACCGAGGAAGGCCGUAGGAGGAGGCCCUCCCCAGAGCCCAGCCAUGUUGGUGUCCGGGUCUCAGAUUUCCUGGUGUCCAGAACUGUGAGAAAUAAGUACUGGGUGCUUGAGCUGCCCAGUCUGCCUUAUUCCUGUUACAGCAGCCUGAGCAGAUUAAGACAGAGGGUAAGGUGAGCCUGUCGCUUGUGACCCCACUGUUCAACCACCUGGGGGUGGGAGGCUACAAACUCACACAGCUCCCCCUCAGGCCCUCCUUAAAUGACAGGGCCCCAGUGCUGUGAGGAGGGAGCUGGACAUAUGAGAAGCCUGUUGCCCCAGAGUCAGAAAGACCUGGCCCCAGAGCAGGACCUGCCUGGGCACUUACCUGUCACAGGUGUGCGACCUCAGAAACACUCUAUGCCUGGUUGACAGCUCUGCAAGACUGUCCAGGAAUUUCCCCUCCUCGAGGAAGCCCUCUCGAUGUCCUGCCUCACCAGAGAGAGUGGAUCCCUUCCAUGAGCUCUGACUCCCUCUGCCCCUUCACAGAUCAUUCCCAGCUGUA